GUCGCACGAACCUUUCGGGGUUAGUGGCGGACGGGUGAGUAACGCGUANGGACNNGUCCAUGGGUGGGGGAUAACUUUGGGAAACUGAAGCUAAUACCGCAUGACACCUGAGGGUCAAAGGCGCAAGUCGCCUGUGGAGGAACCUGCGUUCGAUUACCUAGUUGGUGGGGUAAAGGCCUACCAAGGCGAUGAUCGAUAGCUGGUCUGAGAGGAUGAUCAGCCACACUGGGACUGAGACACGGCCCAGACUCCUACGGGAGGCAGCAGUGGGGAAUAUUGGACAAUGGGCGCAAGCCUGAUCCAGCAAUGCCGCGUGUGUGAAGAAGGUUUUCGGAUUGUAAAGCACUUUCAGCGGGGACGAUGAUGACGGUACCCGCAGAAGAAGCCCCGGCUAACUUCGUGCCAGCAGCCGCGGUAAUACGAAGGGGGCAAGCGUUGCUCGGAAUGACUGGGCGUAAAGGGCGCGUAGGCGGUUGACACAGUCAGAUGUGAAAUUCCUGGGCUUAACCUGGGGGCUGCAUUUGAUACGUGGCGACUAGAGUGUGAGAGAGGGUUGUGGAAUUCCCAGUGUAGAGGUGAAAUUCGUAGAUAUUGGGAAGAACACCGGUGGCGAAGGCGGCAACCUGGCUCAUGACUGACGCUGAGGCGCGAAAGCGUGGGGAGCAAACAGGAUUA
rnacentral:rRNA from 1 species